rnacentral:rRNA from 1 species
UACGGAGGGUGCAAGCGUUAUCCGGAUUCACUGGGUUUAAAGGGUGCGUAGGCGGGCAGGUAAGUCAGUGGUGAAAUCUCCGGGCUUAACCCGGAAACUGCCGUUGAUACUAUCUGUCUUGAAUAUCGUGGAGGUAAGCGGAAUAUGUCAUGUAGCGGUGAAAUGCUUAGAUAUGACAUAGAACACCAAUUGCGAAGGCAGCUGACUACGCGAAUAUUGACACUGAUGCACGAAAGCGUGGGGAUCAAACAGG